rnacentral:rRNA from 1 species
UUCUAGUCUUACCGGUGGAUCACUCGGCUCGCGGGUCGAUGAAGAACGCAGCUAACUGCGAUAAAUAGUGUGAACUGCAGAAACCUUGAACACAAAACUUUCGAAUGCACAUUGCGCCAUUGGAGUCUUAUCCUUUGGCACGCCUGGUUUCAGGGUCGUAA